UCCUGGCUCAGGAUGAAUGUUGGCGGCAGGCUAAGAUAUGCAAGUCGAGCGAUGAAGGUUUUGUAGCAAUACAAAAUUGGAUUAGCGGCGGACGGCUGAGUAACGCGUAGGAAUCUCCUCUAAGUGGAGCAUAGCCAGUUGAAAGAUUGGGUAAUUCUCCAUGUGACCGUAAGGUUAAAGAAGCAAUUCGCUUAGAGCGGAGCCUGCGUCCCAUCAGCUUGUUGGUAGGGUAAUGGCCUACCAAGGCGGAGACGGGUAGCUGGUCUGAGAGGACGAUCAGCCAGACUGGGACUGCGACACGGCUCAGACAUCUACGGAUGGCAGCAAUUAGGAAUCUUCGGCAAUGGGCGAAAGCCUGACCGAGCCAUGCCGCGUGCAGGACGACGGCCUUCGGGUUGUAAACUGCUGUGGUAGUCUACUAAUUUUGAAGAGACUACUAGAAAGAGGUUGCUAACUCUGUGCCAGCAGCAGCGGUGAUACAGAGACCUCAAACAUUAUCCGGAAUUAUUGGGCGUAAAGCGUGCCGAUCGGCUGUUUGGUGUGUCUAGGGUGAAAGACCGGAGCUUAACUCCGUGUUUGCUCUAGAAACUACCAAACUUGAAGGGCAAAGGGGUGGCUGGAACUCUGCAAGUACCGGUGGAAUGGGUUGAUAUGCAGGGGAACACCGAAAGCGAAGGCAGGCCACUGGGUGCCACUUGACGCUGCUAGGACGAAAGCGUGGGGAGCGAAGCGGAUUAGAUACCCGCGUAGUCCACGCCCUAAACGAUGAGUGCUUGCUUUUAGGAGGAGUCAAUCCCUCUUGGAGGCGCAGCUAACGCAGUAAGCACUCCGCCUGUAGAGUACGAGCGCAAGCUUUAAACAUAAAGGACUUGACGGGAACCCGCACAAGCGGUGGAUCAUGCGGCUUAAUUCGUUAAUAAGCGGCGAACCUCACCUAGACUUGACAUACUACUGCAAAUCCAGGGAAACUUGGACUCAUUCGAGGGAGUAGUACAGGUGAUGCACGCUCGUCGUCAGCUAGUGUCGUGAGAUGAUCGGUUAAGUACGGUAACGAGCGCAACCCCCAUCCUUAGUUAGUUAAUGUAUAAGGAGACUGCCCGCGUUUAAUCGGGAGGAAGGCUGGGAUGACGUCAGAUCAGCGUGUCCCUCACGUCUAGGGCGGCACGCAUGAUACAAUGGGUAAGGUACAACGGGACUGCCAAGAGGUGACUCGGAGCAAAUCCUAUAAAGCCUCCCUCAGUACGGAUCGAAGUCUGCAACUCGACUUCGUGAAGCUGGAAUCGCUAGUAAUCGCGGAUCAGCCAUGCCGCGGUGAUACGUUCUCGGGUUUUGUACACACCGCCCGUCACGGCAUGGGAAUUGG
rnacentral:rRNA from 1 species